UACGUAGGAUCCAAGCGUUGUCCGGAUUUACUGGGUGUAAAGGGUGCGCAGGCGGACUUAUAAGUCAGUGGUGAAAUCUCACGGCUCAACCGUGAAACUGCCUUUGAUACUGUAGGUCUUGAGUCAGAGAGAGAGUCGUGGAAUUCCGAGUGUAGCAGUGAAAUGUGUAGAUAUUCGGAAGAACACCAGUGGCGAAGGCAGCGACUUGGCUCUGUACUGACGCUCAGGCACGAAAGCAUGGGGAUCAAACAGG
rnacentral:rRNA from 1 species